GACGAACCGUACAAACGUUAUUCGGAAUCACUGGGCUUAAAGGGUGCGUAGGCGGCUUUGCAAGUCGGGUGUGAAAGCCCUCGGCUCAACCGAGGAAUUGCGCCCGAAACUGCCGAGCUUGAGGGACACAGAGGUAAGCGGAACUAAGGGUGGAGCGGUGAAAUGCGUUGAUAUCCUUAGGAACACCAGGAGCGAAGGCGGCUUACUGGGUGUCUUCUGACGCUGAGGCACGAAAGCCAGGGGAGCGAACGGG
rnacentral:rRNA from 1 species